AGGGCGGUGUUGGAUAAGGAGAGAGGAGAGAGGCGAAAAGAUUCACGCGAAGUGGGAGCCAGGUAGUUAAGUGGUAAUGACUCUGAUAACUGUUGAAGAGUUUUAAGGAAACAAUUGAAGAAAAUUUGAACACCUGAGCACACAGUUUGUAUGUUAAUACGAACGGGAGUGUGAGUGAAGGGAGUCUGAAGCAGAGUUGAAGUACACGAGGAGUUGCUGACGACUGGAGGACGCUAUCGGCUAAGCUAAGUGAGCUAGUACUGAGCGCCGAGGGACGUAAGGACGCCGUGUCCGGUGAGGGAGGACUGAUGGAAUCUUCUGGACGGGAAUAUCGCCUCGGUUUCAUCGUUUGGACCACCCGCCGUUGGGACCGAGACUGAAAGCUGGUCAGAGGGAAGGUCUGCACCUCUUGUUGUUUUCGCUGAUGCAGCAGAAAUGCCCGAAGAGAGACAAAGGAGAAGGAGACAAGGCUGAAUGUCACCUCAGGGUCUGAUGAAGGAUACACCGUUCUGAAGGGGAGGCUGUGGGACUAAGGUGAAGAAGAGCCUGGCUCAUGUCCAAACUAUUCUCUGCCAAGGAACUUCCAGACGCGGCACUUGUCCUCCAUGCGCACCACCACAGCAUUAGCGGGGACAGCUGCCAGAUGACAAUGCUGGAACUCGUCCAGUCCUGCCUCAGUUCCAUCUGGACACAGCAGCUUCAGGUCCUCCAGCUCCAGGUCCAGGGCCCAGGACUCCUGGUUCUUACCUUGGCAGGAUAAUGAGAGAUGAAGUCUCUGUCAGCUUUAAAUCAACUGAAGGAGCCAGACAGCCGACAGCUUACAAGCAAGUGAAAACAGCGAGUCCUAUUCAGUCUGAAGGUAUCACAGUAUCGUCAAGCUGCACUUUCAUACCUCACUAAUGUGCUGUGUCUUUAUUCUGCAGAUGAACCAGAAAGUAACAGUUACAAUUUGUGCUAAUUGCUUAGCUCUCUCAUCUUCUGUGGCCAUGUUAAUUGUAUUAAUUAUACUUUGUGUCAUGCAGAGUUGAAGUUGCCAAUAGCAACUUAUGAAAUGGCCGAGUUUUUAUCUCCGAUGGUUCAUUUGCUCAUAACAACAGUGGUGGAUCUCAAAUGAUCGCUUCGUUCAGCUUCACAUUUUGACUUCAGAUAUUUGGCUUCGCCGCCUGAAAGUCUCUAAAACGACAAAACAACCCCCGACAACCGCAAACCUGUCGAUUGUGUUUUCUUGACCUGUGACCCCAGACAUUUGGGAACCAUAUGAGAUGGCUUGCUUCGUUAAACAGCGACAGUGUUUGCAAAGCCUCUGUUAGGCUGCUGCUUCUCGGGCUGCACCGGCAGAGUCUGUGUAGCGUGACCGUGAUAAUGAUCGCCAUUAAUUUUGGAUGUUGCCCAAAGCAAAAGGAGCAGAUGCAGCCAAACAAGGAAUUAGGGCAUUUCAUUUCUGGCCAAAAAAAAUGUCCACACCACAUUCUGUCGUGCUGUUGCUCUCCCUCUCUCGUCCUCACAUUUUGUCUUUCCCCCUCCUUCCUCAUAUGUCUUCGUCACUGUCUGCCUCUAUCUCACAAACACACGCUUGUAUCAUAUAUCAAAUAUGACAUGUCGUAUAAAUGAUUCCACUUUCAUGGAUGCUGUGGUGCUGGGAAAUAUGGUGAAACACUGACCUCCUGUGUUUUGGCCGGGACUAGCACUCUCUCUCUCUCUUGACCCAAAAUAAGAUUUAAAUUUAAAAACAUAUACAUAAAUAUGUAAAAAUAAAAAAAACACAGUUUCAAACACUGACCAUCUAUGUUGUCAAAGACCGUGGUGUGUUUGACAAAGGCCACGUCGCCAAGGUUUUCAGCCACACAUCUGGAAAAAGAGAAAACACACAAAUAAUCAGACCAGUUUGAUCUAUAAUUAGGUCAAAACAUGACUUAAAGGGGGAGUCGGCGUACGUGGGAAUAUGUUUUUAUUGUGGCACGACCCGGGAGACCACGAGUAAACUCUCCCUCUGCUGCCUCUGUAGCUCUUUUAUUUCCAAUCUUAGAUGCACUUACUAUUAUUAUUUUGACGCCAAAGGACAAUUUUGCUGAGCGCGACUGCACAUGAAUUUAAAUGUGAGCAAAAUCAAGUCUGUCAUAUAUGGACAUCCUGGCGGUGUGUGCUUACAGGUUUACAUAUUCAGGCUUUAAAAAACGUGUUUUUUGCGUCUUAUGUGUUGUUCAGUCAAAGUUCUGAUUCAUUUUAUAUCGCUUUUUAGUAGUAAUGUAAAAAAAAACAAAAUUGGACCGUUUUUUCUUUUCUUGGUUUGUUUCAUAAAAACGAGCCGAGUGAAGUUUGAGCUGUGACGUACUGUAUAUCCAAAUUCUCUGUGUUCUAAGGGUUUAUUCUAACAUGUAAGCAGUGAUCGAAACUGACAUAAGCAGUUGGAGCUCAUAGUUUUGUUCUAGUUUUAUUUGUGUAAUAUGCCUCUUCGCACUUCUUCGUCCUUGUAUUAAUAUCACUAUUAUCACUGUGUUAGUUUUUAUAGCAGCCGCUCUAAUUACUCUUAUGGAGUCCGCGGGCUGAGAAGAAGAAGAAUAAUGUAAAGGGAGACGCGAGGACGAGAGGUCGUAAGAGUUACACGUCCCCCGGGAGCCAUUAGUGCAUUAUUUCCCAUGUUAUUAGUGUCAGCGUUUGUACCUCAGCGCUCCAGACUCUCCGUAGUGUCGCUCUCUGUGGUUGCUGGCGCAGAUGUGUCUGUCGUUCUCGUCUCCUAUGCAGGCCUCGCACAGGUUCUUGGGGUUGAUGCCUCUGGGGUCGUGCUGAGCAUCUUUGACCCCCGGCACGCAGCUGUAACCGAAGAAGUUUCCCACCACUGGUGACAAAAUGAGUGACAUAGGACAAGCUUUUAGGUCGGUCAUUACCAAAGAGGGGGGUCAUUUUUAAACAUUUAUCUCUGGGUCCAUUUUCAAAAUAAUAUUUAUUAUUAUCACAGAUAUUGCAAUAAAUAUGCGGAGAAAUGUUCAAUUAUGCACAAAUUCCCCCCUGGUCAUGAUUUUUAUUUGAGUCAUGAUGAUUUUUCCUAUUUUAAAAGUUUGGUAAACACUGCUCUAGUUAACUAGAAUCUCUCUUGUAAACAUAUUAACCUCUUACCAGACUCAUUAUUGUGCACAAACCUAUAAAAUAACCCAUUGUAAAUUCCU